rnacentral:rRNA from 1 species
CAAGGAUUCCCCUAGUAACGGCGAGUGAACCGGGAAGAGCUCAAAUUUGAAAUCGGGCGUGCUCAGUGCGUCCGAGUUGUAAUCUAUAGAGGCGUUUUCCGUGCCGGACUGUGUCCAAGUCCCUUGGAACAGGGUAUCAAAGAGGGUGAUAAUCCCGUACUUGACACAAUGACCGGUGCUCUGUGAUACGUUUUCUACGAGUCGAGUUGUUUGGGAAUGCAGCUCAAAAUGGGUGGUGAGUUCCAUCUAAAGCUAAAUAUUGGCGAGAGACCGAUAGCGAACAAGUACCGUGAGGGAAAGAUGAAAAGCACUUUGGAAAGAGAGUUAAACAGUACGUGAAAUUGUUAAAAGGGAAACGAUUGAAGUCAGUCGUGACUGAGAGGCUCAGCCGGUUCUGCCGGUGUAUUCCCCUCAGUCGGGUCAACAUCAGUUUUGUUCGGUGGAUAAGGGCAGCUGGAAGGUAGCACCCUCGGGUGUGUUAUAGCCAGUUGUCGCAUACAUCGGAUGAGACUGAGGAAUGCAGCUCGCCUUUAUGGCCGGGGUUCGCCCAC